rnacentral:rRNA from 1 species
UCGAGCGAAUGGAUUGAGAGCUUGCUCUCANGAAGUUAGCGGCGGACGGGUGAGUAACACGUGGGUAACCUGCCCAUAAGACUGGGAUAACUCCGGGAAACCGGGGCUAAUACCGGAUAACAUUUUGAACUGCAUGGUUCGAAAUUGAAAGGCGGCUUCGGCUGUCACUUAUGGAUGGACCCGCGUCGCAUUAGCUAGUUGGUGAGGUAACGGCUCACCAAGGCAACGAUGCGUAGCCGACCUGAGAGGGUGAUCGGCCACACUGGGACUGAGACACGGCCCAGACUCCUACGGGAGGCAGCAGUAGGGAAUCUUCCGCAAUGGACGAAAGUCUGACGGAGCAACGCCGCGUGAGUGAUGAAGGCUUUCGGGUCGUAAAACUCUGUUGUUAGGGAAGAACAAGUGCUAGUUGAAUAAGCUGGCACCUUGACGGUACCUAACCAGAAAGCCACGGCUAACUACGUGCCAGCAGCCGCGGUAAUACGUAGGUGGCAAGCGUUAUCCGGAAUUAUUGGGCGUAAAGCGCGCGCAGGUGGUUUCUUAAGUCUGAUGUGAAAGCCCACGGCUCAACCGUGGAGGGUCAUUGGAAACUGGGAGACU